rnacentral:rRNA from 1 species
AAAAUGACUCUCGGCAACGGAUAUCUCGGCUCUCGCAUCGAUGAAGAACGUAGCAAAAUGCGAUACUUGGUGUGAAUUGCAGAAUCCCGAGAACCAUCGAGUCUUUGAACGCAAGUUGCGCCUGAAGCCAAUAGGCUGAUGGCACGUCUGCCUGGGCGUCACUC